GACGAACGCUGGCGGCGUGCUUAACACAUGCAAGUCGAGCGGUAAGGCCCUUUCGGGGGUACGACGAGCGGCGAACGGGUGAGUAACACGUGGGUGACCUGCCCUCAGCUCUGGGAUAAGCCUGGGAAACCGGGUCUAAUACUGGAUAUGACUCCAUGACGCAUGUUGUGGGGUGGAAAGCCUUGUGCGGCUGAGGAUGGGCCCGCGGCCUAUCAGCUUGUUGGUGGGGUGANGGCCUACCAAGGCGACGACGGGUAGCCGGCCUGAGAGGGCGACCGGCCACACUGGGACUGAGACACGGCCCAGACUCCUACGGGAGGCAGCAGUGGGGAAUCUUGCGCAACGGGCGAAAGCCUGACGCAGCGACGCCGCGUGAGGGAUGACGGCCUGGU
rnacentral:rRNA from 1 species